GCUGGGCGUGGUGGCGCACACCUGUAAUCCCAACUACUCAGAAGGCUGAGGCAGGAGGAUAGCAAGUACAUGGCCAACCUCCGCAACUU
rnacentral:sRNA from 1 species